CGUGGGUAGCAAACAGGAUUAGAUACCCUGGUAGUCCACGCCGUAAACGAUGUCGACCAGCCGUUGGGUGCCUAGCGCACUUUGUGGCGAAGUUAACGCGAUAAGUCGACCGCCUGGGGAGUACGGCCGCAAGGUUAAAACUCAAAUGAAUUGACGGGGGCCCGCACAAGCGGUGGAGCAUGUGGUUUAAUUCGAUGCAACGCGAAGAACCUUACCUACUCUUGACAUCCUGCGAAUUUGGUAGAGAUACCUUAGUGCCUUCGGGAACGCARAGACAGGUGCUGCAUGGCUGUCGUCAGCUCGUGUUGUGAAAUGUUGGGUUAAGUCCCGUAACGAGCGCAACCCUUGUCCUUAUUUGCCAGCGCGUAAUGGCGGGAACUCUAAGGAGACUGCCGGUGACAAACCGGAGGAAGGUGGGGACGACGUCAAGUCAUCAUGGCCCUUACGAGUAGGGCUACACACGUGCUACAAUGGUCGGUACAAAGGGUUGCCAACUCGCGAGAGUGAGCCAAUCCCGAAAAGCCGAUCUCAGUCCGGAUCGGAGUCUGCAACUCGACUCCGUGAAGUCGGAAUCGCUAGUAAUCGUGGAUCAGAAUGCCACGGUGAAUACGUUCCCGGGCCUUGUACACACCGCCCGUCACACCAUGGGAGUGGACUGCACCAGAAGUGGUUAGCCUAACGCAAGAGGGCGAUCACCACGGUGUGGUUCAUGACUGGGGUGAAGUCGU
rnacentral:rRNA from 1 species